UGGAAUUAUAUUCUCAAAGGGACUCUUUCUCUCUUUCCCCUUCCUUCACUCAAAAUCUUCUCAUUACUCAUAAAAACACACUCUGCAAUCUUCAAUUCCCACCAUGUUCAACGAUCAAGCACUACCAGCAGGAACCUCCAGACCUACUCAUGCCGGAGACGAUGAAGAUCAAAUCCGCGAAAUCCACGCUCUGACUCCCACACCACCACCGCCGGUGACGGAGAAUCGGAACCGCCGCGGAGAGGCUUGGGAAACGGCGAGCCAGAGAUCGACUUCAAUGGCGAGCGAAGGCGCUUCCAGUGAGAAUUUUACUUCCAUAAGUAGAGAGUUCAAUGCUCUGGUGAUCGCCGGCGCGGAGAUCGGUGACGGUUAUCGCCAGGACCGGCCGAUUAACGAAGCUCCGAAUAACUUGAGCAGGAUUGGAGAGGAAGAUCAGGCUACGCCUGAGGAGGAGACGAAUCCGUUGGCGAUCGUACCGGACGGUCAUCCGUUUGAUGAUCAAUUAACGCCGUCGUCAAUCACAAGACAGGAGAACAAUAGCGGCGGAGGAGCAGCAGCGACAAGAGAGAUUUCGUUGCAGAUGGUGAAGAAGGAGGAGGUGGAGACGAAGAUUAGCGCAUGGCAGAACGCGAAGAUUGCAAAGAUUAACAAUCGGUUCAAGAGAGAAGAUGCAGUGAUCAGUGGAUGGGAGAGGGAGCAGGUUCAGAAGGCAUCUUCGUGGAUGAAGAAGGUCGAGAGGAGGUUGGAAGAGAGGAGGGCAAAAGCGCUUGAAAAGAUGGAGAAUGAAGUAGCGAAGGCGCGCAGAAAAGCAGAGGAAAGAAGAGCAUCGGCUGAGGCCAAGAGGGGAACAAAAGUUGCGAAGGUCACUGAAAUAUCAAACUUGAUGAGAGCAGUUGGAAGGCCACCAGCCAAGCGCUCCUUCUUCUGAAUUCCUCUCUCUUUUGAUGAGAGCAGUUGGAAUUUGUUUCACUUUGUAAUUAAUUAAGGAGAUGGAUAAUCAAAACCCUCCAAAAACAGUUUUACAUUUUUCUUUUACUUGAAAGAACAAAGGAAAGCUAUAUUAUACAUCGUCUCUACCAAGAUCAAAUCUUGGUUUCUAGUUGGUUUUAGUUUAAGAACUUGUAAGUAAGAAAUGGGCAAUUAGUCUGUGUGUUUAUACAAGGUUGUCUUUACAAGACUUCUUUUA